CCUACGGGAGGCAGCAGUGGGGAAUAUUGCACAAUGGGGGAAACCCUGAUGCAGCGACGCCGCGUGAGCGAAGAAGUAUUUCGGUAUGUAAAGCUCUAUCAGCAGGGAAGAAAAUGACGGUACCUGAGUACGAAGCUCCGGCUAAAUACGUGCCAGCAGCCGCGGUACUACGUAUGGAGCAAGCGUUAUCCGGAUUUACUGGGCGUAAGGGGAGCGUAGGGGGCCUGCCAAGUCUGGAGUGAAAUGCCGGAGCUUAACUGCGGAACUGCUUUGGAAACUGGCGAACUAGAGUGCGGGAGGGGUAAGCGGAAUUCCUAGUGUAGCGGUGAAAUGCGUAGAUAUUAGGAGGAACACCGGUGGCGAAGGCGGCUUACUGGACCGUAACUGACGUUGAGGCUCGAAAGCGUGGGGAGCAAACAGGAUUAGAUACCCCAGUAGUC
rnacentral:rRNA from 1 species